rnacentral:rRNA from 1 species
AUUGAACGCUGGCGGCAGGCCUAACACAUGCAAGUCGAGCGAGCGGCGGACGGGUGAGACAUGUCUGGGACACUGCCUGAUGGCGGGGGAUAACUACUGGAAACGGUAGCUAAUACCGCAUAACAUCAGAUGAGCCCAGAUGGGAUUAGCUAGUAGGUGGGGUAAUGGCUAACCAAGGCGACGAUCCCUAGCUGGUCUGAGAGGAUGACCAGCCACACUGGAACUGAGACACGGUCCAGACUCCUACGGUAGGCAGCAGUGGGGAAUAUUGCACAAUGGGCGAAAGCCUGAUGCAGCCAUGCCGCGUGUGUGAAGAAGGCCUUCGGGUUGUAAAGCACUUUCAGCGAGGAGGCGUUACUCGCAGAAGAAGCACCGGCUAACUCCGUGCCAGCAGCCGCGGUAAUUC